rnacentral:tRNA from 1 species
GCUGGAGAUAUAGCUCAGUGGUAGAGGGCUUGUCUGGCAUAUGCAAGGCUCUGGGUUCGGUCCCCAGCGCAGCA